GACGAACGCUGGCGGCGUGCUUAACACAUGCAAGUCGAACGGAAAGGCCCUGCUUUUGUGGGGUGCUCGAGUGGCGAACGGGUGAGUAACACGUGAGUAACCUGCCCUUGACUUUGGGAUAACUUCAGGAAACUGGGGCUAAUACCGGAUAGGAGCUCCUGCCGCAUGGUGGGGGUUGGAAAGUUUCGGCGGUUGGGGAUGGACUCGCGGCUUAUCAGCUUGUUGGUGGGGUAGUGGCUUACCAAGGCUUUGACGGGUAGCCGGCCUGAGAGGGUGACCGGCCACAUUGGGACUGAGAUACGGCCCAGACUCCAUCGGGAGGCAGCAGUGGGGAAUAUUGCACAAUGGGCGGAAGCCUGAGGCAGCGACGCCGCGUGCGGGAUGACGGCCUUCGGGUUGUAAACCGCUUUCGCCUGUGACGAAGCGUGAGUGACGGUAAUGGGUAAAGAAGCACCGGCUAACUACGUG
rnacentral:rRNA from 1 species